rnacentral:rRNA from 1 species
UACGUAGGGGGCAAGCGUUGUCCGGAAUCAUUGGGCGUAAAGCGCGUGUAGGCGGUCCGGUAAGUCCGCUGUGAAAGUCGGGGGCUCAACCCUCGGAUGCCGGUGGAUACUGUCGGGCUUGAGUACGGAAGAGGCGAGUGGAAUUCCUGGUGUAGCGGUGAAAUGCGUAGAUAUCAAGAGGAACACCUGAGGUGAAGACGGGUUGCUGGGCCGACACUGACGCUGACAGCGCGAAAGCCAGGGGAGCAAACGGG